rnacentral:rRNA from 1 species
UACGAAGGGGGCUAGCGUUGUUCGGAUUUACUGGGCGUAAAGCGCACGUAGGCGGAUCUUUAAGUCAGAGGUGAAAUCCCAAGGCUCAACCUUGGAACUGCCUUUGAUACUGGGGAUCUUGAGUCCGGAGAGUGAGUGGAACUGCGAGUGUAGAGGGUGAAAAUUCGUAGAUAUUCGCAAGAACACCAGUGGCGAAGGCGGCUCACUGGCCCGGUACUGACGCUG